rnacentral:rRNA from 1 species
UACGAAGGGGGCGAGCGUUGUUCGGAUUUACUGGGCGUAAAGGGCGCGCAGGCGGCGAGUUUUGUCAGGCGUGAAAGCCCCGGGCUCAACCUGGGAAUUGCGCUUGAAACGGGCUUGCUAGAGAUCGGGAGAGGAGAGUGGAAUUCCCAGUGUAGAGGUGAAAUUCGUAGAUAUUGGGAAGAACACCGGUGGCGAAGGCGGCUCUCUAGUACGUGACUGACGCUGAGACGCGAAAGCGUGGGGAGGCGAACAGGAUU